UACGGCCCUUUGUUAUUACGCAUAGAUGAAGCGUAGCGUUUCAAUUAGGGUUGACUCCGUGUUCUUCUGCUUCGGGCCUCCAGAACCGAUGUUGCUUAGGUCUUCUCGAUCGCUUUUCAUCUUCUACUCAGAUGCCGAAACGAUACCUGUAUCUUAAACCCCUCCAUUAAUCUCUCACACACGAUCUUUAUUCAAUGCGAUUUCUGCUUCCAUAAGGCUGUGAAGGUUCAUCUAUAAAAAGACGGGCUGCUAUUCCUCCUCUGUUGGAGCCGGCUGCCGUUUCUGAGAAGCCAGAAAUUUUCGCCGUGGUGGAGAGCUUAUGGGAGCGGAUAUGUUCUUUCUGGAUUCUCAGAGUUAUUUAACGGAACCGGAAAGAUUAGGGCGUCGUCACAGAGAAUAUAGUUGUCGCCCCAGAGGAGGUUUGGUUACGCCGGAGCUUUGGUGUCAGUGGCGAUCGGAAAAUCUGCAAUCGCUGUGGAUUUGAUAAGUUGCCAUUCAUGGAAGCUUAAGUUAGUAGAGAGCACGUUGAAGUCAGUACUACUUGAUGCUCAUCGUUGUUUGAGUAAGGUAGUAUUUGCCAUGUAUACAUGCUUCUUGCUAAGCAUCUAAUUAUCUAUGCACUAUAAGAUUAAUUGACAAGCCAAGACAAGUAUCUAUGUUAGAUGAGUCAUUAAUAUGACUGUAAACUGGCACGUGGUGUUUUCAUACAUUAUAUAGUUCCAUGAAAUGUUAAAAAAAAUAAGGCAUGGCUAGCAAUCGCUUUUGGUAUGACAACGAAUGGUUACAAAGAAUCUACCUUUAAAGUGUUCCAAACAUAAAUGAAAAGCUUGCCCCUCCUAAGCUUAUUUUCUUGCUUUA